UAUGGCAUUGUAUAGCAAUCUUUGGGUGAAGGGGUGAGCCCCCCACCAAACGCCAGAUAAUGAGCGAAGGAUAUUAAUAUUUUUUUCACACUUUUGGGAGAUGUAGUUAAAGUGCUUUACACCUGUCAAUUUUUGAUCCAACCAUACACCCAAGAACUUAACAUUAUCGACAAAAGGAACUUCAAUAUUGUAAAUUUUGACUUUGAUUACAGGGAGACGUCUUUUGUUGGUGAAUAAAACUACCCUACUUUUAGAAGGUGAUAGUGUUAGCCCAUGUUGCAAGAGGUAUGAUGAGAGAUAUUCUAGAGCAUGACUCAAACGAAUAGAAGAAGCCUGUAUAGACUUAUCAGAAGUAUAUAGAACAAUAUCAUCUGCAUAUUGCAAGAUUUGGCAAAAGGGGGUAACUGUGCUAGAAAUAUCAGAGGUAUACAGGUUGUAUAGUAAAGGACUGAGAACAGAACCUUGAGGUAAACCUUUCCAAACUGUUUUAGGAGGUAGGUAUGAGGAUGGGCCUUUAAUGGUAAUUGUUCGCUCCAUUAGCAUAUUGCAUAUGAAUCGAGUUAACUUCGCUGGAAUACUCAGCUGAAUGAGUUUGCUCCUGAGCAGAGGAAGAGACACGUUAUCAUAUGCGGAUUCUAUAUCUAGAAAAACUGCCAAAAGAGGUUCUUUUUGGAAAAGGGCUAAUCUUAUAUCAGUGGUAAGGAUACCCAAGCUAUCUAAUGAGCUCUUCCCCUUUCUGAAUCCAAACUGGGAAUCGGAAAUGAGGUUAUUGUAUUCAACAAACCACUCAAGUCGAUGUUUGAUCAUAUGUUCACAUAUUUUUGCAAGAGCAGAUGAUAGGGCAAUAGGUCUAUAACUGGUGGCUUUAGAUGGACUCUGACCUGGUUUGAGUAUAGGAAUGAUCACUUGAUUUUUCCAAGAUGGAGGAAAGAAUAGGGGAUGCCAUCGGCCCCGGGAGAAGUGUCAACUAAGCCAUCCAAUGCCAGAAGGAGUUCUGAAAAAGAGAAAGGGGAGUCUAAACUAUGAGUUGAUGAGAGAGGGAUUGGAGGUGAAGGGAGAUAGUCUUCAUUAGGAACUGAAGGGGGUGACAACCUAUCUGCAAAGGAUUCAAGCCAUACAGAUGGAUCUACACUUGAGUCAUGCUCCGAAGGAUUGUAAGAACCCCUAAAUUUUUUAACUUGUUUCCAUACAAUUGUAGAUGGAGUACAGGGAGAUAAGCUCUGGCAAAAAUUGAUCCAACCUUGUUUUUUCUUUUUGGCAAAUAAAUUAGUGGCCUUGG